rnacentral:rRNA from 1 species
CAGCACCUCAAGUGGUCAGGAUGAUUAUUGGGCCUAAAGCAUCCGUAGCCGGCGCUGUAAGUUUUCGGUUAAAUCUGUACGCUCAACGUACAGGCUGCCGGGAAUACUGCAGAACUAGGGAGUGGGAGAGGUAGACGGUACUCGGUAGGAAGGGGUAAAAUCCUUUGAUCUAUUGAUGACCACCUGUGGCGAAGGCGGUCUACCAGAACACGUUCGACGGUGAGGGAUGAAAGCUGGGGGAGCAAACCGGAUUAGAUACCCGAGUAGUCC